rnacentral:rRNA from 1 species
CCUACGGGCGACAGCAGUGGGGGAUAUUGCACAAUGGGGGGAACCCUGAUGCAGCGACGCCGCGUGGGUGAAGAAGCGCCUCGGCGCGUAAAGCCCUGUCAGCAGGGAAGAAAAUGACGGUACCUGCAGAAGAAGCCACGGCUAACUACGUGCCAGCAGCCGCGGUAAGACGUAGGGGGCAAGCGUUAUCCGGAUUUACUGGGUGUAAAGGGGGCGGAGACGGCGAUGCAAGCCAGGAGUGAAAGCCCGGGGCCCAACCCCGGGACUGCUCUUGGAACUGCGGGGCUGGAGUGCAGGAGGGGCAGGCGGAAUUCCUGGUGUAGCGGUGAAAUGCGUAGAUAUCAGGAGGAACACCGGUGGCGAAGGCGGCCUGCUGGACUGCAACUGACGUUGAGGCCCGAAAGCGUGGGGAGCAAACAGGAUUAGAUACCCCUGUAGUC